rnacentral:sRNA from 1 species
CGACCCUUUUUAAGCCGAGGGUCACCUAGCCAACUGACGUUGUUAGUGAAUACAAAUUUGUUCACAAUAAAUUACGGCCAAUCACCUUCGUUGUGAUUGGCUAUUUUUUC